rnacentral:rRNA from 1 species
UCCCAUGGUUUCCGUAGGGUGAACCUGCGGAAGGAUCAUUACCGAGUGAGGGCCCUCUGGGUCCAACCUCCCACCCGUGUCUAUCGUACCUUGUUGCUUCGGCGGGCCCGCCGUUUCGACGGCCGCCGGGGAGGCCUUGCGCCCCCGGGCCCGCGCCCGCCGAAGACCCCAACAUGAACGCUGUUCUGAAAGUUGCAUCAGCCAGUCUGAGUCGAUUUAUCGUAAUCAGUUAAAACUUUCAACAACGGAUCUCUUGGUUCCGGCAUCGAUGAAGAACGCAGCGAAAUGCGAUAAGUAAUGUGAAUUGCAGAAUUCAGUGAAUCAUCGAGUCUUUUAGAACGCACAUUGCGCCCCCUGGUAUUCCGGGGGGCAUGCCUGUCCGAGCGUCAUUGCUGCCCUCAAGCACGGCUUGUGUGUUGGGCCCCCGUCCCCCUCUCCCGGGGGACGGGCCCGAAAGGCAGCGGCGGCACCGCGUCCGGUCCUCGAGCGUAUGGGGCUUUGUCACCCGCUCUGUAGGCCCGGCCGGCGCCAGCCGACCACCAACUUUAUUUUUCUAAGGUUGACCUCGGAUCAGGAAGCUAUAUGUC